CGUAGGGUGCGAGCGUUAAUCGGAAUUACUGGGCGUAAAGCGUGCGCAGGCGGUUAUAUAAGACAGAUGUGAAAUCCCCGGGCUCAACCUGGGAACUGCAUUUGUGACUGUAUAGCUAGAGUACGGCAGAGGGGGAUGGAAUUCCGCGUGUAGCAGUGAAAUGCGUAGAUAUGCGGAGGAACACCGAUGGCGAAGGCAAUCCCAUGGGCCUGUACUGACGCUCAUGCACGAAAGCGUGGGGAGCAAACAGGAUUAGAUACCCUGGUAGUCCACGCCCUAAACGAUGUCAACUGGUUGUUGGGUCUUCACUGACUCAGUAACGAAGCUAACGCGUGAAGUUGACCGCCUGGGGAGUACGGCCGCAAGGUUG
rnacentral:rRNA from 1 species